rnacentral:rRNA from 1 species
UCCGUCGGCGUUCUAGAAAGUUUCUUGUCUAAGCCUGAGGCUCAACUUCAGAAAGGCAAGGAAAACUACUAGAAUUGAGUCAGUUCGAGGUAGCUGGAAUUCUCUGUGGAGGGGUGAAAUCCGUAGAUAUAGAGAGGAACGCCAAUCGCGAAGGCAGGCUACUAGGACUUGACUGACGCUCAGGGACGAAAGCUUGGGUAGCAAAAG